ACAUAUUUACAAAAAUAUGCAAUAUUUGUCAAAACAGUAUUUUACCAUUUUUGAUUGACAGUCAAAAACCUAAGAAUCAGAAUCAUCUACGGCAAAGAAGAACAUAAACUCCAUUUUCAAGAGAGAGAUCUAACAAAGGAAGUCAAGGAUCAAGAGCCCAACACCGAUCUCCAUGAUGGUGACACCAUUUUAACCAUCAAAACAUCAACAUCUGAUCCUCUCUAAUUCUCAGUAACAGCAGGUGUUCAUCACUAAUGCACAAUCAUCAUUUAAUUAGUCACUUAAUUAUCUCAUCAACUUUAAAUUUAAGGACUUGGGAUUUGACUUGAGACUUGCUUGUUAUUGAAAGAAAUGACUUUGUCG
rnacentral:lncRNA from 1 species